rfam:Myotis lucifugus cont2.10446, whole genome shotgun sequence.
GAAACGAUUUUUUUAAAAAUCACACAUUUCAACAGACACUAAAAGG